GACGGAGGGGGCUAGCGUUGUUCGGAAUUACUGGGCGUAAAGGGCGCGUAGGCGGCACUGUUAGUCAGGCGUGAAAGUCCUGGGCUCAACCUGGGAACUGCGCUUGAUACGGCAGAGCUAGAGGAUGGAAGAGGCUCGCGGAAUUCCCAGUGUAGAGGUGAAAUUCGUAGAUAUUGGGAAGAACACCGGUGGCGAAGGCGGCGAGCUGGUCCAUUACUGACGCUGAGGCGCGACAGCGUGGGGAGCAAACAGG
rnacentral:rRNA from 1 species